rnacentral:rRNA from 1 species
AUUGAACGCUGGCGGCAUGCCUUACACAUGCAAGUCGAGCGGAGAGAGCUAGCUUGCUACUGAUCUUAGCGGCGGACGGGUGAGUAAUGCUUAGGAAUCUGCCUAUUAGUGGGGGACAACAUUUCGAAAGGAAUGCUAAUACCGCAUACGUCCUACGAGAGAAAGCAGGGGAUCUUCGGACCUUGCGCUAAUAGAUGAGCCUAAGGCGGAUUAGCUAGUUGGUGGGGUAAAGGCCUACCAAGGCGACGAUCUGUAGCGGGUCUGAGAGGAUGACCCGCCACACUGGGACUGAGACACGGCCCAGACUCCUACGGGAGGCAGCAGUGGGGAAUAUUGGACAAUGGGGGAAACCCUGAUCCAGCCAUGCCGCGUGUGUGAAGAAGGCCUUAUGGUUGUAAAGCACUUUAAGCGAGGAGGAGGCUACUGAGACUAAUACUCUUGGAUAGUGGACGUUACUCGCAGAAUAAGCACCGGCUAACUCUGUGCCAGCAGCCGCCGUAACAC